rnacentral:rRNA from 1 species
UACGGGGGGGGGCAAGCGUUUGUUCGGAAUUACUGGGCGUAAAGGGCUCGUAGGCGGCCAACUAAGUCAGACGUGAAAUCCCUCGGCUUAACCGGGGAACUGCGUCUGAUACUGGAUGGCUUGAGAUUGGGAGGAGGAGUGCGGAAUUCCAGGUGUAGCGGUGAAAUGCGUAGAUAUCUGGAGGAACACCGGUGGCGAAGGCGGCAUCCUGGACCAACUACUGACGCGAUGAGGAGACGCAAAGGGCCAGGGGAGACAAAGGCGG